CUCAGAAUGUGAUCCAACUACUGGAGACUGCUUUUUCCUUUCUGCCAAGCAAAACGGACAAAAAUAUGAUUUUGAGCUCUCAGGGCAGACUGAUGGUUAUAUUGCUGCUGGUCUCUCAGAAACCGCAAGUCAGAACAGCAGACAUACAGCCUACAUCUGUGCAAGAGACAAUAAUGCUGUCCGUUUCUUCACUGGAUUCAUUGAGGAUUCUAGUCUCAAUGUGACUAAUUCAUUGGACUCAAGCAAUGUGCAGGGCACAGUCAGCCAGGGCAAAGUCCAGUGUAUAUUUACAGCUGACCUAUCAAACCCAAGGACCCGAGCAUCAUCAGCAAGUUUCUCUUUGUCUGUUACAAC